UGGGGAAUAUUGGACAAUGGACCGAGAGUCUGAUCCAGCAAUUCUGUGUGCACGAUGAAGUUUUUCGGAAUGUAAAGUGCUUUCAGUUGGGAAGAAAGAAAUGACGGUACCAACAGAAGAAGUGACGGCUAAAUACGUGCCAGCAGCCGCGGUAAUACGUAUGUCACGAGCGUUAUCCGGAUUUAUUGGGCGUAAAGCGCGUCUAGGUGGUUAUGUAAGUCUGAUGUGAAAAUGCAGGGCUCAACUCUGUAUUGCGUUGGAAACUGUAUAACUAGAGUACUGGAGAGGUAAGCGGAACUACAAUUGUAGAGGUGAAAUUCGUAGAUAUUUGUAGGAAUGCCGAUGGGGAAGCCAGCUUACUGGACAGAUACUGACGCUAAAGCGCGAAAGCGUGGGUAGCAAACAGG
rnacentral:rRNA from 1 species